CGGAGCGUAGUACAACGGCAGUAUGCGCGCUUCGGGUGCGCGUGAUCCGGGUUCGAAUCCCGGCGCUCCGA
rnacentral:tRNA from 1 species